rnacentral:lncRNA from 1 species
AAAGGGAGAAAGAAAGCGUGCGACAGGGAGUGGGAGCCCCAAGUCAAGAGGAGCCCCACAGAGGCAGCCCUGGACUUCGGGACCACAGAGGUGCUGAGUGCUGCCCGAUUCUGGAUCCCACUCUGCUUAGCUCAGAACUUUGUCAGCGAGCAAGAACAAUGCCAGGAGGUCUGGAGAAAACGUGUCAUCAGUGCAUUUCUAAAAUCGCCAGCAAUGCCUGCUUCGUUGUUGUGCUCUGUGCUUUCCUGGCUCUGCCGCUGUCCAUGACCUUCAUAGGUGUCUCUCCUGUUGUACGACUCCACCAGGAUGAGGCGGCUGCUGUCCAAGGCCGUGGUGAUUGAUGACGAUGACGAUGACGAAUACCCCUGGAGGCAGAAUGCGCACAGAUACUACAUCCACCUCCUGCUGAGCCUCUUCCUCUUCCUCUGGUUCAUCCUGGGAAACUACUGGGUCUUUUCUGUGUACCUGCCUGAUUUUCUUCCCCCUUUCCAGCAGCCUCAGGACUACUGUGACAAAACCCUGUACCUCUUUGCAGUCGGAGUCCUGGCGCUCAGUCACACUGUGCUGGUCUUGCUCCUGCUGUGCAGCGGCUGUGUCUACCUGUGCUCCAGGUGGAGACUUGCUGCCGAUGAAGACUGACAGCUGCCUUGUCCA